GUGACAUAGGAGGUUCUUGGAACACAAAACACUUGAAAGUCAAGUCGCUCAAAGUGUUUCAGGGAGGAAAAAGGAAGACGAAACAUUGUUCCUGCAUGUCAGACAUAACAGGAUGCACACUGACUAAGCUCUGCAGUUAUGCGGUGCCUGGCACAUCGAGUUCUCCCACUUGUGUGUUUGAGUGCACACAGCUGUACUGCACAGUAUGGAGGCCUGGGAGCAGUCCAAGGAUACAGAGGAGAGACAGACAGUCAGACAGAGAGAAAAACUCCAAUCCAACUGUUCAAAUCACAUUCAGAGGUGCUUCAAGGACACACGACCAGUUAGACUGCAGCACAGUCUGAGCACAAAUGUGUCCUUCGGUGCUCUGAGGAACUACCUCCUGUAGUCAACUGUGUCUCGGCAAGUGGAUGUGUUUUUAAUCAGUCAGGACCCCAACAGGGAUUCUUUCUUGUUCUUUUACCUAAAUAAUGGAUGCUGUGUGGGAUUUCACAGCAAUACAUUCAACUGAAGAGGUAGCAGCUUCUCCUCACUUUCACCUUCCAGUUGGUUCCAAAUGCAAAAUCCAGUCUGAUGGUCUGUAUCGUCCUAUUUUAAGUGCGGAUAUCAUAAAUAUUUACCUGACACUAAAUCUGAACCAGACAUUUAAAUGUGCACUGGUAAUAUCUGUUAACACAAUAUAUCAACCAUGUUAUUCUUUGCUAGCAAUAAAGAAUGUGAAUGGUAUCAGUAUGUAGGUGUGUUCAUGUAUAAGUCGAUCAACUUUUCUAGUAACAAUGCUGCCACAAAAACAAGUUACUGUAGAUGCUCAAAAUUGCGAUCCUUAUUUUCAGCCCUGGUUGAUUCGAGGGUAAGCUACUGCAGGGAAAGCUCUUUCAGCAGCUAAUUUGUUAGAAACACAACAGAAAAACAGCUGGUGUAUCUGUUUACACCACAACCAAACAAACUUGCCUUGUUCUAAUAAAGAAGUCAGUCAAUAAAUAAUUGCAACUGUGAUCUGAUUUCAUGCUGCACAUGGUGCAAGUAGUUUAACACACAACAGCAGGACAGUUUGUCAUAUUGCAGACAAGACAAAGGUGUGUAGUCUGUCACCUGCAGCUCUUCAUCAAACAGCUCACUGUGCUGCUCCUCACUGUUCCAGCAUGCCCUUGCAAAAAAUGUAAAAGCUAAAAAUAACUGUUGACUUGUUUUGUGGUUGCAUUUUUGACACAAUUGUAUCUAAAAACAU